ACUUACACCAUGCAUGGCUUAAUCUUUGAGACAAGCAUAUGACUACUGGCAGGAUCAACCAGGUAGCAUUCCUCUUCAACGCAGCCCGCCACGCAAGGACAAGCCAACACGUGACGAACGAUCGUUUUGGAGAAGCUGAGAACGCUUAAAUAGGGCAAAUGCAGGAUCCCGAAAGACCCAUGCCCACAUCAGGUUCCGUAUACAUGAGACCAAGCGAUGCUUCAAGGGCCACAUCGUCAAUGCAAAAGCACCAACAAGGUGGACCACAAAGCCUGCUUCAAGGUUCAUCCCACGCCGCAUGAGCGACGCAUGACGAAAAAGGACGUCCAUAAAGCCACACGUUACCGUCGAGUAGGUAUGCAACACAGGAAACCCACAAGCUGCUCAAGGCAAAACAAGCCUUGUCGCUAAAAUGAAGAGGUAAGCACGCKUGGACGUUGCUGCGCGAGCAGACAGCCAACCACCCGUAACAAACCAAACACCACUCAUGCACCUUUACGGUCAACAUCCCCGAAAGUCGGCCGACCAGUAGCGACCCGCAAAGCACCAAGGCCAAGCAAGCANACCAAAAGCCNUCCGACCCCCAGAAUGCACCGAACNAUACGAAA
rnacentral:misc_RNA from 1 species